AUUUACUUUUAUUUUUUUUUUUGGGCGGGGGAAUGUGUGCAUGUGUCUCUGUAGCUAGAAGUGUCACAUGAGAGUGAGCAGAUUUACAAACUGGUUUUAAAGUCCGCAGGAUGGAAUAUUUGACAAACCGUAAUUAAACCCAAACUAAACACUCAGAACAUUUGAAGAAAAGAGAGCAAGAAGGAAAUAAAUAAAAAAAGAAAGAAAGACAGAAAGAAAGAAAGGAAAAACUCAUAGAAAUGCAAAACCAAAAAUAGCAUCAGUGUGCCUCAGAAGAGUGGAGCUCCAGCGUGUGAUAUCACUGUAGCCAGGACCUCCUCAUUAUUUGGAUCCAAGCUGAAACUGAGACACAUUUAGUGUCAUGGCCUAAAACAGAACGCUGCCCACUGACUCAGGUCAGCGAAGGCUACGAUAGCUGAAACGUCUCCAUGACAACUGAAUAAACUGUAUCUACCCAUGAAGUCGAAAAUACUGUGUUUAAAAUGAAU